rnacentral:rRNA from 1 species
AAUGAACGCUGGCGGCAGGCCUAAAACAUGCAAGUCGAACGCCCUAGCAAUAGGGAGUGGCGCACGGGUGAGUAACAUGUGGGAAUAUGCCUUUUGGUGCGGAACAACGUUUGGAAACGAACGCUAAUACCGUAUGGUCCCUCCGGGGUAAAGAUUUAUCGCCAAAAGAUUAGCCCGCACUAGAUUAGCUAGUUGGUAAGGUAAUGGCUUGCCAAGGCGACGAUCUAUAGCUGUUCUGAGAGGAAGAUCAGCCACACUGGGACUGAGUCACGGCCCAGACUCCUACGGGAGGCAGCAGUUAGGAAUAUUGGACAAUGGGCGCAAGCCUGAUCCAGCCAUGCCGCGUGAGUGAUGAAGGCCUUCGGGUUGUAAAGCUCUUAGCCGACGAAUAUAAUGACUGUAGUCGGAGAAUAAGCCCCGGCUAACUUCGUGCCAGCCGCCGCCGUAAUAC